UACGUGAGCCCCAAGCAUUGCCCGGAAUCACUGGGUGUAAAGGGUUUGUAGGCGGAUGAAUAAGUCAGGUAUGAAAGACCGGAGCUCAACUCCGCGUUUGUAUUUGAAACUAUUUAUCUAGAAUCAGGGAGAGGUAAGCGGAAUUCUAAGUGUAGGGGUGCAAUCCGUAGAUACUUAGAAGAACACCAAAAGCGAAGGCAGCUUACUGGAACUGUAUUGACGCUGAUAAACGAAAGCGUGGGGAGCGAAAAGG
rnacentral:rRNA from 1 species